rnacentral:rRNA from 1 species
UGCCAGACUCCUACGGGAGGCAGCAGUGGGGGAUAUUGCACAAUGGGGGGAACCCUGAUGCAGCGACGCCGCGUGGGUGAAGGAGCGUUUCGGCGCGUAAAGCCCUAUCGGCAGGGAAGAAGGAGGACGGUACCUGACUAAGAAGCCCCGGCUAACUACGUGCCAGCAGCCGCGGGAAUACGUAGGGGGCAAGCGUUAUCCGGAUUUACUGGGUGUAAAGGGAGCGUAGACGGAAAGGCAAGUCAGAAGUGAAAACCCAAGGCUCAACCAUGGGACUGCUUUUGAAACUGUCAAACUAGAGUACGGGAGAGGUAAGAGGAAUUCCUAGUGUAGCGGUGAAAUGCGUAGAUAUUAGGAGGAACACCAGUGGCGAAGGCGGCCUACUGGACGGUGACUGACGCUGAGGCUCGAAAGCGUGGGGAGCAAACAGGAUUAGAUACCCGAGUAC